rnacentral:tRNA from 1 species
GUGAACAUAGCUUAAUGACAAAGCCUCACGCUGUGACCGUGGAAGAUGUCGGUUAGAUUCCGACUGUUCGCCCCA